AUUACGUGUACAUCUAAACCGGAAUAUACGAUAGGUGCAAUAUAUUCUACCUGCAUUUUGUUAGAGGAGUUCCAUAGCGCCGUUCGUCAAAAGUAUUAAGUAUUCACAACCCAUGGCAUGCCCAAUCUUAAGCCCCUCGAACUGGCUCGUGAACGCACGGAUAUCUACUGCUCGGCUGUCAGCACGGAUGCCUAUUUGUUAAUGAGAUCUAUUUGGGCUUUCUUUGUAAACUUACGGUUUAGUAACUUUUUUAGCAGCAGCCAUAGUUCUGUUUUACUUCUUUAGAUUUUUUUAAGGAUAUUAACGUGUUUUGCGCCGUACAAAGAAUAUAAUAUAUGAUUUUACUUUAACCUAUAUCUUCUCUUUUUGGGGGAUUUGUGUAUUGCUGCAUAAUGUAAAGAAAUUGUGCUUUGUGCAGUUAAAUGGUGGAAUAUGCAGAGGAUUUCAUCAUGCGGAGCAAUUGUCCUGUUCAUCGAAGCAUCAAGAUCCAGAAACAAGUCUAGCAGGCAUGCAUUAUGUUCACUUCAUGUUGCUCUGGAUAAAUCAAAAGUUUUUUCAGCUUUGUUCAGGUUGCAGCAGGCUGUACUUGGCAAACUGGUAUACCCCUCCCCGCAAGGUCAAUGACGAAUGGGACCUAGCGUGUGUAGGGACGGCGAGCAGAGGCAGCGAGGCCGCUCGUUCACGUCGCCUUUCUCCGCUGGUUUUCCUGGAUGAGUAUGCUCAAUGGAUUGUAGCUAGCCAGCGGAGCCUUAUUGAAGUUAUGGCCGCAUUUCCUUCAGCUAAGACUCCUUUGGGAAUUGGGAGUAUUCUUUGCAGCGGUUGCUCCUCGUCUACAGCCACGAUUCUACUCCAUAUCAUCAUCUCCAAAGUUGAGGCCUUCAACGAUAAGUUGCAAGAGCUUCUCCAUAAAUGCUAAAUGGCAGCUGAUGGAGUGUAAUUAUUUGGGUUGACGAGAGGCUUUUUGUUUCUCUCUCGAAGAUGCAGUAGAUUUAUUUAGGGGCUUGUCGUUUUAUGAUUUAUCACACUAGAUCGCCAUCUUGACCUACGUCUUCAGUUCCGCCUCUGCCCAUGACAUUGGGAAUGGCCAUGGUUGGGCUUCAAGCAUGGCAGGAUCAGGACCAGCGAGGAAGACGAGUCGCCCCAGCCAUGGCCAUGGUUCCACCGACUCCCCCACAUGCCUCCACUGUUGAUAAGUUAAUUGACGGAUCUAUCUUAAUACUGAAGACUAAAAUUCUUAGAACUGUGCCAUGCCACUUCUCUAAUUAUUGUUCGUGUGUUAUUCAGAAAACCUCUUACGAUGCAAACAAGGACCUGUCAUGUUUGGGCCCUUCAGCACUAUCCCUGAGCAGCGAAUUCCAGUUUCUGUUUUGAAUCUUCUUUUGAUCACGAGGAUUCUUUCUGUACCAGCAAGACCUCAGAUUCACCCAAUUUUGUGUUGCAGGCUUGCUAAUCUGCAAUUUCUGCUAUCAUGUAAUUUGAGGUAUAUCUUUCAGAGAAAAUAAGCAAAUCUCAUUCUAAGGAGGUAUGAGCUAUAUUUGCUUCGCUAAAUGUUAAUGUAUUUUGUCACACUAUUUUAGUUAAAAUGUUUUCUUGAUGAGGAGGUUAUGAAAAUAUAUAAAAUUAAAAUAAGUUAAGCUAGGAUUAUAACGCUUCCUCUUGCGAUUAAUUAGUUUUAAAAGUGCUCAUUAGUGCGCUGUUCCCAAGGUUGCUGCAAACAAAAGGGUACAAACUUCUCCAGCUUGAACACAAGUACUUUGCCCCACAAGUUUGUGGUCUAUUAUUCAGGGGUCUGAUGUCAUGUUUACAACUGGUUCGUUGUCAAGAUUAGGCCAAUUACUCCUUGCUGUCAAAUGUCUAUGCAAGCUCCUCCUUUUACAAUGAAACUACAUUAUUUCAUUUUCAUGAGGCCCAGAAUCAGUUCCUUACCGUAUGGGAGUAUGCAUUUAAUUUACCUAUUGGUUUUCAUUUUAUAAAUAGAAAUAGUGUGCUGCUACAGAGGCAGAGACCGCCCCUGAGAGAUUUCAAUGAUUGAUUCUCGGUGUUGCUUAUGUAGUUUGAGCUUGAAAUAUGAGUCAAAGCCUGAACAUAGUCUGCUUAAGAUUCGUCAAUUUUUGUAUGUGUGUUAUGUGCGUUGCUUUAAAUAUGAGCUUUAAAUCACACUCAAUCUAUGUGUCAUGUAGCUCCACUGUCCAACUACACCAUUCCACAUUAAUACUCUUAAACUGGUCGACACCUGACUACUGAAGCUCCCAACUGGCUUUUAGAUUUCGCCUCUGACAUUUUGUUAAUAUUUGCCUCUGAUCUGGCUUAUGAUUCAUGAGCUCUUGCCAUCUAAUUGGUUUGGUUGUGUUAUUUGAUUUAAUCUCCUGUGAAUAAGUAUCCAAAAAUUAUUUAUUUGUACUCGUGCUAUGUUUUUGCUUAUUUUAAUUGCCUAUGAUUUACUCGUGCCAUUCCUGGUGUUAUGGUUUGUAAAUGUGGUCUUAAUGAAAAGACCAUUUUAUCUGCGGGUUUGGUAUAAACGGAUACUUCUCGAUUGUCCUCUUUUUGGUAGUUGUCCUUUUGUAAUUUCUAGGUAUAACUUUCAGAGAACAAGCAAUCAUAUGAGCUUGCUUCCCUGAAUGUCCAUAUAUUUGGUAGUUAGGCUUAAAUAUUAUCGCCUUGGAGCUGGCGAUGGUCGCCGCCUCAACUGUCUUCCGCUCCCCUCUUUGAGUCAGAAAUCAAUAUAUUGGUGCUUUGCAGGUCAAACCCUAUCUUAUUAUCUCUCCGUCUCCCUCUAUAAAUCUUCGGAUGCUUUAUGUUGAACAAUGGUACAUCACAUAGUUAUCAGAUCUUCUAUCCGCUAAAACCCACGAACGAUACAACAUGAGGAAUGGAAGCUAUCUGAUAAUCAUAGAAUUAGUUCUACUAAUCAUGUAUGUUGUUGUUCCUUUUGUUUUACGUCCUCGAAACAUUUUUUGGUGCUACUGGAUUUUACAAAUGAAAUUCAUGUUUUAGCUCUAAUUGUCUGUUUCUACUUGAUUAGCACUCCCAAGUGAACUCCAACCGGAUGGUUCUUGCUUGGCCUGUGAAGAAUCCGCUUAUUGUGUAUUUCCUUACUUUUUCUUCAAAAUACACCAUUGUUGAUUUCCUUUACAUAUCUUUAUCAUUCCUAUCUGUCAUUUGUAUAUCCAUCAUGUUUAGUUAAAGGAUAUUUAUCUCCUUUUAUCCUGCCAUGUUUUAGUCUACAACAUUGUCUGCCACAAGCAAUUGGGUACAAUCAUAUUUAGAGAGGACAUUUAAAUAAACCCAUCUUAUUCUGAAGUCAGUUUAUACAAUUUCUGAUGCAAUGCUAUUAAUUUGUUUGUCUCUCUUAUUUUACUUAUUCACGAUGCGGAUAACUCAAUAUUUAAUUUGUUAUUUUAAUAUCCAGGUGCUAAUGUGGAUAUACAUUUCAUUCCAAAAACUCAGAGGGCUGAUUCAAUUCCAAACAUGCAGUCCAUUAUUGCUGCUUUAGAUGGGGAAAUGGUGGCUCAUGGAGAUCUGGGUGUUGAACUUCCAGUUGAGGAAGUACCUUUACUACAGCUGAGACUAAAAAACAACAUAUAUAAUUUUGGGCGGCAAGAAAUGCUCAUCCCUUUUAUACACCCCUUUCUUGUUAAUAUGCCUAAAAUGUAACCAAGCCGUUUAGUAUUGUUGGUAAUCAUAUUUUUUGAAGAUAGAUUGUUGUAAAAUAAAACACACAGGAGGCUGAUUUUCUCACAGUUUUUCUUUUUGGCCAAUAACAUUAUGGUGAUUAGAUCUGAUACUUCUUUGGCACAUUAAAUAUUUGUUUUCUUUCCAUGAUCUGUAAAAUUGCUCACAGGUUCUUUCUUUGGCUGCUUUAUAAAAAAUUAUUGUUUUGUACACACCCUAUGCAGUAUGAAAUGAUUAUUAGCUACUCCCUCUGAUCCAUAUUACUUGAUACUAAUAUAGAUGUAUCUAGACACAUUUUUGUUGUAGAUACAUCCAUUUUAGCAUCAAGUAAUAUGGAUCGGAGGGAGUACCAUUUUUCAUUAAUUGCAGUCUAUCUACCAGUGGACUGCAAAGCAAUAGCAAAGCAUAUUGGCCUUAAGUAGGUUUAUCUAAGCAUACAAUGCAUGACGGUUAUUUCUUUUACUGCAGGUUUUGCAAAUAUACGUGUGUGUGGCAUAUUGGUCUUUCUUAGGAGUUGCUUUCUGGAUUUGCUCGCUGCUCUAUGGAUCUAUUAUUUCAAGAAAGACUUGCACCAUCUUUGGCCUUUUAACCGCUUGAUUUGAAUUUUUAAAUGGAGUCAAAUAGUGUCCCUCCAUCUUAACAUGCCACUCAUUUAUCAUGUGUGGCGUGUAAUUUAAGAGGGCAUGAGUGCAUGACAUGUGCAUUCCUGAUUACAGGGUGUUGUAAAGAAUAUCAUCCCAGCCAUGCAAUUAUUUCUGCUGCUUGUGAAUUGGAAGCUUUAAAGCUCGUCUAUGGCUGCAGCAGAAGUGUGUCAAAUUAUCUCACGCUGCCUCUGGGAGCCGCAUACAGUCGGUUCGGGUGUAUUUACCUGUAGUAUGUAUGGCAGUUGAAAUAGCUUGCCAAUUAGUACCCACCAAAGUUUUGGCGGUCCAUCUUCUCCGAGUAAAGCAUAGGACACUGAUUCGCUGCUCUGCUCAUUUUGUAGCAGCCUAACAAUUGGCGAGAGAACAGUUCGGGACGGGGCUACCUUACCGGAGAUCUUAACGGUUUGGAGUUAGAAUAGCCAAAUCCUAAUUUUCUGUUUAACCCCUUUGCCUUAUUUAUAUGUAUUUUAUAGCUUAGACAGCAUCAGAGUAGAACUAAACAUAUUAUUGCAAUAUGGGCUAUUUACUAUGCUGCGACUUUUUGAUUCUA